UACGUAGGGGGCAAGCGUUGUCCGGAUUUAUUGGGCGUAAAGAGCUCGUAGGCGGCUUGUCGCGUCUUCCGUGAAAACCUGCAGCUCAACUGCAGGCUUGCGGUCGAUACGGGCAGGCUGGAGUUCGGUAGGGGAGACUGGAAUUCCUGGUGUAGCGGUGAAAUGCGCAGAUAUCAGGAGGAACACCGGUGGCGAAGGCGGGUCUCUGGGCCGAUACUGACGCUGAGGAGCGAAAGCGUGGGGAGCGAACAGG
rnacentral:rRNA from 1 species